UACUUAAGGCCUAAAGCAGAGGCACUUGA
rnacentral:piRNA from 1 species